CAAAAUUGGGGGAUGGCAAACAAUGACUUAAUUGUGAUGUCUGUCUUUCCCUUGUUCCUGAAAGGAUCUCGGCUUCCAGGCCGUUGUGGCUCUGCUCAGACUACUCCUCACUCAGAAGAGGUUAUGCAAAAUGGCUGUCUCGUGACUGUGAGGGGAAGACCUUGCUGCUUAAAGGAAUGAUAGAGAUUCCAGACCCAUCAGAGGAG